UACGUAGGCAGCGAGCGUUGUUCGGAGUUACUGGGCGUAAAGGGUGUGUAGGCGGUUGUUUAAGUUUGGUGUGAAAUCUCCCGGCUCAACUGGGAGGGUGCGCCGAAUACUGAAUGACUCGAGUGUGGGAGAGGUGAGUGGAAUUCCUGGUGUAGCGGUGAAAUGCGUAGAGAUCGGGAGGAACACCGAUGGCGAAGGCAGCCUCCUGGGCCAACACUGACGCUCAUGCACGAAAGCGUGGGGAGCAAACAGG
rnacentral:rRNA from 1 species